rnacentral:rRNA from 1 species
UACAGAGGGUGCAAGCGUUGUUCGGAAUUAUUGGGCGUAAAGGGCGCGUAGGCGGUGCGGUAAGUCUUUUGUGAAAUCUCCGGGCUCAACUCGGAGUCUGCAGGAGAAACUGCCGUGCUUGAGUAUGGGAGAGGUGAGUGGAAUUCCUGGUGUAGCGGUGAAAUGCGUAGAUAUCAGGAGGAACACCUGUGGCGAAAGCGGCUCACUGGACCAUUACUGACGCUGAGGCGCGAAAGCCAGGGGAGCAAACGGG